UGAGGAACAUGACCUUCGGCGGGGGAUAGCCGGCCCAACGGCCGGGUAAUACCGCGUACGACCACAUGGGGACAUCCCUGAGUGGUGAAAGCAGCAAUGCGCCGAUGGAGUGCCUCGCGGCCUAUUCAGCUAGUUGGUGAGGUAACGGCUCACCAAGGCGACGGACGGGUAGCUGGUCUGAGAGGUCGACCAGCCACACUGGGACUGAGAUACGGUCCAGCUCCUGCGGGAGG
rnacentral:rRNA from 1 species